rnacentral:lncRNA from 1 species
UUCAUAAAUAUUUUUCUUGCUAAAAUUGAGGCUUCAGUAUAUGCCUCUUGACCUGGGUUCACAUUUUAUAGCUGAAAAAAAUACAUAAAACCCCAAAGGAAAUCAUAGCCAAAUUGUUGAGUUUUAGUUGGUUUUAGGUCAGAGGGCAAGAAUCCAUUGAAUUUUAUGUACUUUUCAUCUAAAAUAAAGAAAUAUCCAAGUUUGCCUAAAGCUUGGCCCUAAUUCCUCCACUAUAUCUGGAGCCAAAUUUUUCAGUUAAUCUGGCACAAAAAUAGAGUUUUUAAUGACACCUAAGACUAGGUGAUUUUUUUUUCUAGGUGAUUUUUUUAAUGAUUUUGAUGCUAAAUUUCAUAAGGCUAUCAAAAAUAAAAACUGUCCAUUGCCCAAAUAUUGACUUGAUGAUAUUUAAAGACACAAAAUAAAAUUUCUUAGAGUAAGCUAUCAUACAGAACAAUUCCUUUGUUCUUAAAACUGGUGGUUUCCCCAAAGUAGGCAUAUAAUAAUUACAUGCUUCCAUGGGGCUGAGGUCUCAGUUAAGGCUUUGAAACAUAGAAUCAAAGUUCAAAUAUUCCUUUCCUAGUUAGUGAUUUCUUCCAUCCAAAUUUCAUAAGCCAAGGUCAAUAAGAAUAAAAUGUAUGAGUGAAUGGAGGUUUUGAAGCAACAGAUUAUUUAUACUUUGGUUGUGAUUAAGACAUAAGGUGGAGAAGUAAAACGAAAUUCUAUAAACUGACUUCAUGAAGGCUAAUGGACUAGACAUUCCAACAGGAACAUAAUUUAUCUUAGUUCUAAAGCAUUACUAAAUUACUGAGAACUAGAGCUUGAUUCCCUAUCAGGGUGAAAAUAGUAAAAGACAAAUUUAAGCCAGGCUAUCCUCCUCCCAAGAUAUACUUACAUUCUAGAUAUUUCCACCUGGGAUUAAGUUAACAAAUCUAUAUAGCAAGCUGUUUCCAUGUUGCCAACAUAUUUACCACAGGAGACAUGAAUUUCUGUCCCUCAAAAUGUAUAGUUUAAGUUAAUCAAGAAAGCCCAAAUAGAUAAGGGACUACCAGAACAGAAAGUAAUCCAUAUUCCGAAUGCUAGAUGGAACAGAAUAGAAUAAGGUUUUAGAUAAUGUAAAAAGCAAAACAGAACACACACACACACAGUAGCUAAAUUUUAGUAACAAAUAGGUCCUGAGUCAGAGACUCAUUGACUCAUAUUCUACUCUCAAUAAAUGACUACUACUUACAGACACUGUGUGAGGUUGUAGAAAGUCAAUGACAGAAUUCAAACCCUGUACGUAAAAGAUCAAUGGGAGACACCAGUGUAUACAGAGGGAGAAAAGAUGAUAGAACUCAGGAAGCAGUAGUAGUAUGUUCAAGGUCCAAUGAAAGCACAGAAUGAAGGCACCAACAGGCACCAGCAUGGGAGUGGGUGAGGGGGUCUGCUUGAAGGAAGCUUGGACACUAGCCUCAUAAAAAGGAAAGGGAGGCCGUGCUAGGAGGAGAAAGAAUAUGAACAACAGAAACAGUGUGUUUCAAUGAGCAAAUUUUGGGGUCUAGAGGCAGGGUAGGGAUCAAGAAAUAAACAGAAAUACUGUUGAGAAGCACUGGGAGGUAAGGAUGGAUAGCUAAGGUGGGGCUGGAUCUGGACUGUGUUUUGGGUUGAGUGGUAGCUCCCCUCAAGGUAUGUCCAUGUCUUAAUCCCCAGGACCUGCCAAGGUACCUUAUAUCAGAAAAUGGUCUUUGCGAAUCUAUAAUUAUAAUUAAGGAUCUUGAGAUAAAAUCAUUCUGGAUUAUCUGGGUGGACCCCAAAACCAAUGACAACUCUCCGUAUAAGAGAGAGGCAGAAGAAUAUUUGACACAGAGGAGAAAGCCCCGAGAAGAGAAAGUUAUGAAGAUGGAUGCAGAAAUUGGGAUUUUGCAGCCAUGAGUCAAGAAAUGCCAACAGCUACCAGAAACCGAGAGAGGCAAAGAACAGAUCCUCCACCAGAGCCUUCAGAGAAAGCAUGGCCGGCCUUACUGACACCUUGAUUUGGGAAUUCUGCCUUCCAGAACUGUGAAAUAGAAUUCUGUUGUUUUAAGCCACCAGGUUGUGGUAGUUUGUUAUGACAUCCCUAGGAAAUGAUAGAGGGCCUUGUGCUUCCUCACUGAUUCUAGUCUUGCUCUGAUGGGCAAUUAUUUUUGUUUUUCUGGAGCUGGAGUGGUUUAAAAGUAAAAUAAAAGGCUGAUAGAGAGUUAGGGGAGGGAUUAUAGGGAAGGAAAUCUGAUAGUGAGUUAUUGUAAUAAUUUAAGAAAGAGGCCAUAGGAGUGUUGUCAAAUGGCUAAUUUUCAAAAUCUUAAAACAACAGAAUUCUCAUACAGAUACAUACUAAAGAUUUACUGAACUAUUAAGGAAAUAAGCAAGAAGCAAAGCUAGUUUAUCUUGCUAGUUCAUUAUAUCGAGAUACACUGCCCAACGUAUAUAGAGUCAGUGAAACAACAAAAAGGAAUCUGAAAUGAGAUUGCUGAAUUAGAGUAACAACAACAAGAAGAACAGAUUAUUUUCCUUAAUGGCCAGAAACAUAAAUUUUGUUUAUCCUCUUCACCAGGAGGAAACCAUUUGCAUUACAACCAAAAAAAUUAAUAUGUGCACUUUCUCACUUUUCUGUAAGUUAAUAUCUAUGGUUGCCAAGUUGCAAAUGUUCUCAUGGACACCAGUAAACAUCCAGUCGAGAAAGUUAACAUUCUUAAAGCUGAUGAUCUUUAGGUGAGCUUGUUACAAAAUGCCAUAGUUCAACAGCAAAAUUCGUGCAGUUAUCUUUUUGCCUGACUUUCGAGUUUUAAAUAAUGUUUCCUUAAUAUUUGAUAUUCAAGUUAAGAACAGAGAGAAGUUUAGAUACCUGUAGCUUAGAGAUCAUGUAAAGAAAGAAUUUAUAAGACUAAUCUUUACCUCAUUGUUAAGGAGAAUUAAAUAAGUUAACAUAUGCAGAGCUCUUAGAGGAGCACCUCCUCCAAUAUUCUCCCAUUAUCUUACAUUAGGCUGAUAUAAUUUGUGUGGAAAAUCUUCUAGGAGGAUAUAUUUCAAUAAAAUACAUUUGUAUUCCUGCAUUCAAUAACAUCUGAGUAGCUACUGUGUAUAUGAACUCACGUAAAAUUUCAAGAUCUUUAUUGUAUUGCUAAGGAAAAGAAUAAAAUAUCACCUAAUAACAGUUAACUACAUUUUAGGAACUGCCAAAAUAUGUGAUUCCCUUCUACCCUAGGUCUUAUGUGUUUCUUGGAGAAUUUUCCCGUGCUGCAGGAAGUUAAUGAGACAGGAUUACAAAGCUGAUGAGAUACUCGAUUCCAAAAUGACCAGGAAGGCAUCUUGAUUUUGCUUGAGUAGAACAUAGAAAAAACAAAAUUAGGGCUUGAUGAAUUCCAUUCACAUAAUUUGUCUUCAAAACAGACUUAGUUACAACAUGAACUUCCUUGGAAAUAUGAUAUAAGCAGAGGUCUUUGUUGACAGCUGAUGAAAAAAUAUAAUGGUUUUUUUUUGGUUACAUAAAAUCGUUCAACGAUUUUGAAAGGAGCUGAAAAUGUACUAGCAAUUUCUAUUUUGUUGGC